rnacentral:rRNA from 1 species
UACACACUGCCCGUCACGCCAUGGGAGUUGGUUUUACCUUAAGUAAGUGAGCUAACCGCAAGGAGGCAGCUUACCACGGUGAGGCCGAUGACUGGGGUG